rnacentral:rRNA from 1 species
UACGGAGGGUGCAAGCGUUAUCCGGAUUCACUGGGUUUAAAGGGUGCGUAGGCGGAACGAUAAGUCAGUGGUGAAAGCCCCGAGCUCAACUUGGGAAUUGCCAUUGAUACUGUUGUUCUUGAGUUCGGUUGAGGUAGGCGGAAUGUUGCAUGUAGCGGUGAAAUGCUUAGAUAUGCAACAGAACACCGAUUGCGAAGGCAGCUUACCAAGCCGACACUGACGCUGAGGCACGAAAGCGUGGGGAUCAAACAGG